rnacentral:tRNA from 1 species
AGCGUAGCUCAGUUGGUUAGAGCGUAGGACUCAUAAGCCCUAAGGUCGCAGGUUCAAUCCCCGCCGCU